AUUGAACGCUGGCGACAUGCCUUACACAUGCAAGUCGAACGGCAGCACGGGUGCUUGCACCUGGUGGCGAGUGGCGAACGGGUGAGUAAUACAUCGGCACAUGUCCUGUAGUGGGGGAUAGCCCGGCGAAAGCCGGAUUAAUACCGCAUACGAUCUACGGCUGAAAGCGGGGGACCUUCGGGCCUCGCGCUAUCGGGUUGGCCGAUGGCUGAUUAGCUAGUUGGUGGGGUAAAGGCCUACCAAGGCGACGAUCAGUAGCUGGUCUGAGAGGACGACCAGUCACACUGGGACUGAGACACGGCCCAGACUCCUACGGGAGGCAGCAGUGGGGAAUUUUGGACAAUGGGCGAAAGCCUGAUCCAGCAAUGCCGCGUGUGUGAAGAAGGCCUUCGGGUUGUAAAGCACUUUUGUCCGGAAAGAAAUCCUUGGCCCUAAUACGGUCGGGGGAUGACGGUACCGGAAGAAUAAGCACCGGCUAACUACGUG
rnacentral:rRNA from 1 species